rnacentral:rRNA from 1 species
GACGAACGCUGGCGGCGUGCUUAACACAUGCAAGUCGAACGGAAAGGCCCUGCUUUUGUGGGGUUCUCGAUUGGCGAACGGGUGAGUAACACGUGAGUAACCUGCCCUUGACUUUGGGAUAACUUCAGGAAACUGGGGCUAAUACCGGAUAGGAGCUCCUGCUGCGUGGUGGGGGUUGGAAAGUUUCGGCGGUUGGGGAUGGACUCGCGGCUUAUGAGCUUGUUGGUGGGGUAGUGGCUUACCAGGGCUGUGACGGGUAGCCGGCGUGACAGGGGGGUCGGCGGCCUGGGAAGUGAGACGGCGUCCUGGCGCCUACGGGAGGCAGCAGUCGGCAAUGGUGGGCAAUGGGGGGAAGCCUGACACAGUGAGGCGGCGCGAGUGACGAAGGUCCCGGGAGCGUAAAACCGUCUUACGGGGGAAGAACAGCUGUCGCCGGAAACGAAGCGGGCGUGACGGUAACGAAUAAAGAAGCACCGGCUAACUACGUG